rnacentral:rRNA from 1 species
GACGAACGCUGGCGGCGUGCUUAACACAUGCAAGUCGAACGGAAAGGCCCUGCUUUUGUGGGGUGCUCGAGUGGCGAACGGGUGAGUAACACGUGAGUAACCUGCCCUUGACUUUGGGAUAACUUCAGGAAACUGGGGCUAAUACCGGAUAGGAGCUCCUGCUGCAUGGUGGGGGUUGGAAAGUUUCGGCGGUUGGGGAUGGACUCGCGGCUUAUCAGCUUGUUGGUGGGGUAGUGGCUUACCAAGGCUUUGACGGGUAGCCGGCCUGAGAGGGUGACCGGCCACAUUGGGACUGAGAUACGGCCCAGACUCCUACGGGAGGCAGCAGUGGGGAAUAUUGCAGAAUGGGCGGAAGCCUGAUGCAGCAACGCCGCGUGCGGGAUGACGGCCUUCGGGUUGUAAACCGCUUUCGCCUGUGACGAAGCGUGAGUGGCGGUAAUGGGUAAAGAAGCACCGGCUAACUACGUG